rnacentral:rRNA from 1 species
AACGCUCGCCCCAGGCCUCACACACGCAAGUUCGAGGGGCAGCACGGUCUUAGCUUCGCUAAGGCCGACGGCGACCGGCGCACGGGCGAGUAACACGUAUCCAACCCGCCGUCUACUCUCGGACAGCCUUCUGAAAGGAAGAUUAAUACAAGAUGGCAUCAUGAGUCCGCAUGUUCACAUGAUUAAAGGUAUUCCGGUAGACGAUGGGGAUGCGUUCCAUUAGAUAGUAGGCGGGGUAACGGCCCACCUAGUCUUCGAUGGAUAGGGGUUCUGAGAGGAAGGUCCCCCACAUUGGAACUGAGACACGGUCCAAACUCCUACGGGAGGCAGCAGUGAGGAAUAUUGGUCAAUGGGCGAGAGCCUGAACCAGCCAAGUAGCGUGAAGGAUGACUGCCCUAUGGGUUGUAAACUUCUUUUAUAAAGGAAUAAAGUCGGGUAUGGAUACCCGUUUGCAUGUACUUUAUGAAUAAGGAUCGGCUAACUCCGUGCCAGCAGCCGCGGUAAUACGGAGGAUCCGAGCGUUAUCCGGAUUUAUUGGGUUUAAAGGGAGCGUAGAUGGAUGUUUAAGUCAGUUGUGAAAGUUUGCGGCUCAACCGUAAAAUUGCAGUUGAUACUGGAUAUCUUGAGUGCAGUUGAGGCAGGCGGAAUUCGUGGUGUAGCGGUGAAAUGCUUAGAUAUCACGAAGAACUCCGAUUGCGAAGGCAGCCUGCUAAGCUGCAACUGACAUUGAGGCUCGAAAGUGUGGGUAUCAAACAGGAUUAGAUACCCUGGUAGUCCACACGGUAAACGAUGAAUACUCGCUGUUUGCGAUAUACUGCAAGCGGCCAAGCGAAAGCGUUAAGUAUUCCACCUGGGGAGUACGCCGGCAACGGUGAAACUCAAAGGAAUUGACGGGGGCCCGCACAAGCGGAGGAACAUGUGGUUUAAUUCGAUGAUACGCGAGGAACCUUACCCGGGCUUAAAUUGCAGAUGAAUUACGGUGAAAGCCGUAAGCCGCAAGGCAUCUGUGAAGGUGCUGCAUGGUUGUCGUCAGCUCGUGCCGUGAGGUGUCGGCUUAAGUGCCAUAACGAGCGCAACCCUUGUUGUCAGUUACUAACAGGUUCCGCUGAGGACUCUGACAAGACUGCCAUCGUAAGAUGUGAGGAAGGUGGGGAUGACGUCAAAUCAGCACGGCCCUUACGUCCGGGGCUACACACGUGUUACAAUGGGGGGUACAGAGGGCCGCUACCACGCGAGUGGAUGCCAAUCCCCAAAACCUCUCUCAGUUCGGACUGGAGUUCUGCAAACCCGACUCCAGAAAGCUGGAUUCGCUAGUAAUCGCGCAUUCAGCCACGGCGCGGUAAAUACGUUCCCGGGCCU